rnacentral:sRNA from 1 species
AAAAAUGAAAAAUAAUAAAGUAAAUAUAGUUCAUUGAAAUGCUACACAAAGUUGUGGGCAGUUGGUUCCAUCUGCCUAGAAUUUGUCACAUAAAGCAGUAGAAACACCUUUCCUCCAAAUGCUCUUUAUUUUGAGGCAGCAUCUUACUCUUUGAUGCAGGUUGGCAAGGAAGUCAUUAUGUGACCCAGGUCGGCUGCAAAUUUAAGGCAGACCUUUUGUUUUGACUCAACUCCCCAAUUUCUGAGAUUGCAAGUGCAUGCCGUUGUGAGUGCUUAGUAACUGUUGUUGUGAGUUGGAAAGUAGCUUGUUUCCCAACAGAUCACUCCAGGCUAGUCCAAUCCCUCAAGAGGUUCUUUAUUGAAUGGGGCUGGGAGGAGCGGGGGAGGAUGAGGAAGAGAAGAAUAGAAAGGGGUCAGGGUCUCUGUCUAUUAUCUGGGGCCGUGAAGUCGAUGCCAGGUAAUGACAUGCACCACCAUGCACAGACAUACUCCGGGAGCGUGUGGAAGUUGCCUUGGCAACAGGUGCCAAGCGCUCCUUGUCGCCUAGAGAUGACGUCAUCGCUGGAGUGGAGGCUAACUAAUUGUGUCCCUAAAGAGACCUUUUGAGGUACCUCGUGCAGCUAGAGAAAAGCUAGUAGAGACGGAAUACACAUCGAAGGAUGUCGGUGUCAACUGCAGCUGUUCACAGAGGCAUGAAGAGAUCAGUGGAUCCUCCGAAGCUCAAUUUACAAGUGGUUGUAAGUUGCCCAAUGCGGAGAAUUGAGCCAGAGUCCUCUUAAAGAGCAGCAAACACUCAGCGAACACUGAACCUUCCCCUCAACCCCUGCCCCAUCAUAGCAGUUUAUUUAGUAUUUACUUGGUGGCUAAGGAUGUUGAACACAUUUUCAAGUACAUAUUGACAUCAUUAUUUCUUUUUCUUUUUAAAAAAUUAUCACAUUUAAAUUUAUUUUAUGUGCAUGCAUGUAUGCCUAUGUAUGAGUGUGCAUGGGGUGGGGGCGGCACCAGAGGACCUUUGUAGGAGUCUGCUCUUUUUUCCUACCGAAUGGGUCUGAGGAUUAAAUGCAGGUCACCAGGACAGCUGCAAGCGUGUAUUCCCUGAGCUCCCCCACUGCCCUGUAUUUCUUUUCUGAGAACAACUUCUUGGGUUCAUUAGUUCAUGUUUCAAUUGAGUAACUUAUUUUGGGGUGUUUCAUUUUUUUCAGAUCUUUAUAUAUCUUUGAUAGUAAUUCCCUGUCAGAUAUGUAGAUAUGAAAGUUACUUUCCUUUUUUUGUAGCCCCCCCCCACCCCCCAAGUUUCUCUGCAUAACCUUGACUGUUCUGGAACUAGCUCUGUAGACCAGGCUGGCUUGGCUUGAACUCCCAAAAAUCAGCUUCCCUUGUCUCUCAAGUGCUGGUUAAAGGCACGAUCCACAACAGCUGGGCAGUAGGCUCCCCUUUAAUCUGGUUAUUUGUUGCCCUUCUUGGGCAGAGACUACUUAAUUUCCUAUAGUUCCAUUUGUUAAUUUGUAGGAAAGUUUCCUAUGCUUUUGGAGUCCUAUUUAAAUAAUCUUUCCCUGUAUCUUGAGGGUAUCUAUCCACAACAGUUUUAAAGUCUGGGUUAUUGUAGUAGUUCAUUUAAUCUAUUUUUAAUUAAUCAUUUUAUUUUUUGCAGGGAGAGAGGAUUGGAUCUGGAAAUUCAGUUCUUUUUCAUGUAGAAAUUCAACUUUUCCAGCACCAUUUGCUUGUUCCACAAUGUACAUUUUUGACUGCUUCAUUUAAAAAAAAAUGGGGGACUGGGCUAGGCACCAUAGUGUACCCUUUUUAAUACCAGCACUUGGGAAUCAGGAGCAAAUAGAUCUCUGGAUUUGAAGCCAUCAUGGUCAACAUAGUGAGCUUCAGACUAUCCAAAGCUAUAUGCAGAGAUCCUGUCUCAAAAAAAAGAAGAAAUAAACCAAACCAAACAAACAAAAGAAUUGACUGUAACUGUGUGUGUCAUCUCUGGUCCUAUAUGCUAUUUUUUGAUUUACAAGUCUGUUUUGUAAUAGUACUAUGCUAUCUUUGUUAGUAUGACUCUGUGUUAUAACCAGAGAUUGGGUAUUGUGAUAUCUGUAAUGUUAGUGUUUUUACUGAGGAUAUUGUAGAGGGGUGUG